rnacentral:lncRNA from 1 species
ACAGAAAGCAAAACGACCAAAAGAACCCUGCUGCCACGCACCUGCUGCAGCUGCUGCUUGCUGUACCAAUACAGCAUAAUGCCUGUACCGGUACACAAUGCAAAAUUCAAAGAUAAUGCCACAGCAAUGCACUUUCUUACUUUUGGCCAUCCAAUCAUUCUCUAACUUGUCCAAAAAACUUGUCCAAACCUUUUAGAACAUGUAGGAUAGAUCCACAUAUCCUUCCUCACACUCGAACUUCGCAAUUUGCAAAAGUUCAGUAUAUUACAGUAAUUGCCCACUGGGAACUAUUAUUUAAUAGUUCUCAUGCCCUCUGUUUUAUGUUUUCCUUUCAGAACCCUCUGCACCGGCGGAGGCACGGGACGGCGGCAAGGGGAUCGCCAGCUAAAUAACGAGAACUUACUUUUACUCUUAGGUGGUUUUCCCUCUUUUUAUGUUUUGGGAGAGCGAGAGAUUUUGUUUACUAUGUAUAGAGACCACCU